rnacentral:rRNA from 1 species
GUAAAACUCUGUUGUCAGAGAAGAACAAGUUGGAGAGUAACUGCUCCAGCCUUGACGGUAUCUGACCAGAAAGCCACGGCUAACUACGUGCCAGCAGCCGCGGUAAUACGUAGGUGGCAAGCGUUGUCCGGAUUUAUUGGGCGUAAAGCGAGCGCAGGCGGUUCCUUAAGUCUGAUGUGAAAGCCCACGGCUCAACCGUGGAAGGUCAUUGGAAACUGGGGAACUUGAGUGCAGAAGAGGAGAGUGGAAUUCCAUGUGUAGCGGUGAAAUGCGUAGAUAUAUGGAGGAACACCAGUGGCGAAGGCGACUCUCUGGUCUGUAACUGACGCUGAGGCUCGAAAGCGUGGGGAGCAAACAGGAUUAGAUACCCUGGUAGUCCACGCCGUAAACGAUGAGUGCUAAGUGUUGGAGGGUUUCCACCCUUCAGUGCUGCAGCUAACGCAUUAAGCACUCCGCCUGGGGAGUACGGCCGCAAGGCUGAAACUCAAAGGAAUUGACGG